GCUGGGUGUAGUGGCGCAUGCCUGUAAUCCCAGCUACUCGGGAGGCUGAGGCAGGAGAAUCGCUUGAGCCCAGGAGGCGGAGGUUGCAGUGGGCUGAGAUUUUGCCACUGCACUUCAGCCUGGGCAACAAGAGCGAAACUCUGUCUCAA
rnacentral:SRP_RNA from 1 species